AUAGAAUGGCAAGCCUGCAGUGCGAGGAAGCCGGUGGAAACCCGGCACGGUCGCGCCACUGUGAGCGGCUGGCAGCCCAUGCGCUGCGCCGCGAGUCAGACCCCGCUGCAUGCUCCUCGUCAAUC
rnacentral:ncRNA from 21 species